rnacentral:rRNA from 1 species
AUUGAACGCUGGCGGCAGGCCUAACACAUGCAAGUCGAGCGAGCGGCGGACGGGUGAGUAAUGUAUGGGGACUGCCCGAUAGAGGGGGCUAACGACUGGAAACGGUAGCUCCUACCGCAUCCUAUCGGAUAACCCAUAUGGGAUUAGCUAGUGGGUGAGGUAAGGGCUAACCUAGGCGACGAUCCCUAGCUGGUCUGAGAGGAUGAUCAGCCACACUGGGACUGAGACACGGCCCAGACUCCUACGGAGGCAGCAGUGGGGAAUAUUGGACAAUGGGCGCAAGCCUGAUGCAGCCAUGCCGCGUGUAUGAAGAAGGCCCUAGGGUUGUAAAGUACUUUCAGUCGGGAGGCGUUACCGACAGAAGAAGCACCGGCUAACUACGUGCCAGCAGCCGCGGUAAUUC